AUUGAACGCUGGCGGAAUGCUUUACACAUGCAAGUCGAACGGCAGCACGGGGGCAACCCUGGUGGCGAGUGGCGAACGGGUGAGUAAUACAUCGGAACGUGCCCGUUCGUGGGGGAUAACGUAGCGAAAGUUACGCUAAUACCGCAUACGAUCUGAGGAUGAAAGCGGGGGACCUUCGGGCCUCGCGCGAUCGGAGCGGCCGAUGUCCGAUUAGGUAGUUGGUGGGGUAAAGGCCUACCAAGCCGACGAUCUGUAGCUGGUCUGAGAGGACGACCAGCCACACUGGGACUGAGACACGGCCCAGACUCCUACGGGAGGCAGCAGUGGGGAAUUUUGGACAAUGGGCGCAAGCCUGAUCCAGCCAUUCCGCGUGCAGGACGAAGGCCUUCGGGUUGUAAACUGCUUUUGUAUGGAACGAAAAGGCUCUGGCUAAUACCUGGGGCUCAUGACGGUACCGUAAGAAUAAGCACCGGCUAACUACGUG
rnacentral:rRNA from 1 species